UUUUCUGCCAAAAAUAUGAAAAUUAAAUGGUAUCAGUUUAAAAAUAUAACAGAAAAUGUAUAGGGAAGAGAAAGACAACCAAAAAACAAGAAACAGGAAGGGUAUAAAAAUCCAUAGACUGACUCAGAAUGAAGAGAACAGCCAAGGCAGGGAGCCUGUGUUUUCUGUGUUGGAAGAUGGCUACCUGGAACUCCAUUGGAAGAGCGGUGGAAGCAACUUAGAAUGAAGAGUCUUCAUUUUACUUGUUAAAUAUUGAAUUGUAAAGAACUUGAGAAAAAGGCACCAAUUAAAUGUUCAACAUUUUCAUUAUGUUAAAAACUACUGAAAGUUGGCACAAGCUCCCAGGCUCUGAUCCACAUGGCUGCCUCACUUCAGAUGCCAGGCACCAGUUCAAGUGAAGUCUUUUCUAACUAAACAGCUGUACAUCAUCAGCUCCCAUGAAAUACGUGUGGGUUUGAUAAUUUCAUAAAAUGGCUCAUGGAACUCAAGAAAACAAUUUACUUUUAACCACUUACCAUAAAGACUGGCAAAAUGAUUACUCUUGAUGUGCAUGUAUUACACUGGAAAUGGUCCUGAGCAGGACAAGAAACCAAGAAGCUCACAAACCUUGCACAGUCAUGGACAGUACCUAUGGACCACAGUUUGAUGACCACACAUCACUCAAAUACCCUGAACAGGAAAUUCGCAUCAUCAUCUCCAUCCACUUUGACCAGAAUCUGUUGAGGGCAGUAUGUUUUCAUGUUUGUUUUAGAUGUGUCAUUUUAUGUGUAUGAGUGUUCUACUCCAAUGUCUAUCUGUGUAUCCCAGGCAUGUCUGAAGUCCACAGAGAUCAGAAGAAAAACCUGGGUAGCUAAGACAGGAAGAUUAUAAGUUUAAUCAAGGCCAUUCUACCUAAAUUGUAGCAAAUUAUUGUUGUUGUUGUUGUUGGUGGUGGUGGUGGUGGUAGUGGUGGUGGUGAUGGUGGUGUUUAAUUAAAAGGAAGAAAAAGAAAUUCAAAACCUGAAGGUUGAAGUGGGUGAAGGGCAGGAAGAAAGGGCAGGAAGGGUGGGUCAGGUUACAGACUCCCUGGACAACGCUGAGAAAGGUGUUUGGUGACCUUGCAGUUGUCAGAGUCCACUCCCUCCCUCUGGCAGGUGCAGACCAUCUGCUCCUAAACCCAAGACAAACUUGAAUUAUUACUUUACUUUAUCAGUGUCUUGUGACGUUACAUGCACACUAGGUUACAGGGUAUGGAUCUUAAACGCCUCCCCAACUUGCCCUUGAAAUCCUUUGAGAACAAGAAAUCUUUUGCUCCUAAGAUCCAAAGGUCUACCUUUCCUUUCAGGAUCCCAUUGUGCUGUUAUUCUCCUUGUCCUGCUGACCUGAGGAAAAUUGAAGACUCUGUCCCUUCUUGACCCCAUCAACAGUAUCCCUGAGUGCUGUGUCUUACAGUAAAAUUCUUAUCUAGACCUGACCACUUGUCCUCAAACUAUAAGCUGUGAUGCUGUAAUCCUUCUAAUAAAGCUUAUCUACUGGGUAAUUCUUUCUACAAA